CCUACGGGUGGCUGCAGUCGAGAAUCUUCCGCAAUGGGCGCAAGCCUGACGGAGCGACGCCGCGUGCGGGAUGAAGGCCUUCGGGUUGUAAACCGCUGUCAGAGGGGAUGAAAUUAUCGGGGGUUCUCCCCCGAUAUUGACAGAGCCUCAGAGGAAGCGCGGGCUAAGUUCGUGCCAGCAGCCGCGGUAAUACGAACUGCGCAAACGUUACUCGGAAUCACUGGGCUUAAAGGGUGCGUAGGCGGCCAAAAAAGUUGGGUGUGAAAUCCCUCGGCCCAACCGAGGAAUGGCGCCCAAAACUGCUUGGCUUGAGUGCGAUAGGGGUGUGCGGAACUUCCAGUGGAGCGGUGAAAUGUGUUGAUAUUGGAAGGAACGCCGGUGGCGAAAGCGGCACACUGGGUCGUAACUGACGCUGAGUGCACGAAAGCCAGGGUAGCGAA
rnacentral:rRNA from 1 species